UGAUCCUGGCUCACAACGAACGCUGGCGGCAUGCUUAAUACAUGCAAGUCGCGCGAGAAAGUACCCUUCGGGGUGCGAGUAGAGCGGCGAACGGGUGAGUAACACGUAAGGAACCUGCCCCUAAAUCCGGGAUAACCUUGCCAACGCGGGGCUAAUACCGGGUGUGGUCCCGAGAUCGCAUGUUUUCGGGAUUAAAGGUGACCUCUCCUUGGAAGUUACCGUUUAGGGAUGGUCUUGCGGCCCAUUAGCUUGUUGGCGGGGUAACGGCCCACCAAGGCUGCGAUGGGUAGCCGGCCUGAGAGGGUGAUCGGCCACAUUGGGACUGAGAUACGGCCCAGACUCCUACGGGAGGCAGCAGUAGGGAAUUUUGCGCAAUGGACGAAAGUCUGACGCAGCAAUGCCGCGUGAGUGAUGAAGGCCUUCGGGUCGUAAAGCUCUGUUGAGUGGGAAGAAACGUUCGGCGGUUAAUACCCGUCGAGCCUGACGGUACCACUCGAGGAAGCCCCGGCUAACUACGUGCCAGCAGCCGCGGUAAUACGUAGGGGGCAAGCGUUGUUCGGAAUUACUGGGCGUAAAGGGAGCGUAGGUGGGAAAGUGAGUUAGGAGUGUAAUACGCAGGCUUAACCUGCGGCUCGCUUCUAAUACUGCCUUUCUUGAGUAUGGGAGAGGGAGACGGAAUUCCAGGUGUAGCGGUGGAAUGCGUAGAUAUCUGGAAGAACAUCAGUUGCGAAGGCGGUCUCCUGGCCCAAUACUGACACUGAGGCUCGAAAGCUAGGGGAGCAAACAGGAUUAGAUACCCUGGUAGUCCUAGCCGUAAACGAUGGACACUAGAUGUUGGGGGAGUUAUUCCUUCAGUGUCGUAGCUAACGCGUUAAGUGUCCCGCCUGGGGAGUACGCUCGCAAGGGUGAAACUCAAAGGAAUUGACGGGGGCCCGCACAAGCGGUGGAGCAUGUGCUUUAAUUCGAUGCAACGCGAAGAACCUUACCUGGGCUUGACAUGGGAGUGAAAUCCCGUAGAGAUACGGGACUUUCCUUCGGGAACACUCCACACAGGUGCUGCAUGGUUGUCGUCAGCUCGUGUCGUGAGAUGUUGGGUUAAGUCCCGCAACGAGCGCAACCCUCGCCCUUAGUUGCCAGCGGGUAAUGCCGGGAACUCUAGGGGGACUGUCUGGUACAACCAGGAGGAAGGUGGGGAUGACGUCAAAUCAUCAUGGCCCUUACGCCCAGGGCUAGACACGUGCUACAAUGGCUGGUACAACGGGCUGCAAGCUCGCGAGAGCAAGCCAAUCCCUAAAAACCAGCCUCAGUUCAGAUUGGAGUCUGCAAUUCGACUUCAUGAAGGUGGAAUCGCUAGUAAUCGCGGAUCAGCAUGCCGCGGUGAUACGUUCCCGGGCCUUGUACACACCGCCCGUCAAGCCACGAAAGAUGGUAGUACCCGAAGUCGCUACUCUAACCCGCAAGGGAGGAGGGCGCCGAAGGUAAGAUCGUUGAUUGGGGCUAAG
rnacentral:rRNA from 1 species